rnacentral:rRNA from 1 species
UACAGAGGGUGCGAGCGUUAAUCGGAAUUACUGGGCGUAAAGCGUGCGUAGACGGUUAUUUAAGUCGGAUGUGAAAGCCCCGGGCUCAACCUGGGAAUUGCAUUCGAUACUGUGUGGCUAGAGUUCGGCAGAGGGAAGUGGAAUUUCUGGUGUAGCGGUGAAAUGCGUAGAUAUCAGAAGGAACAUCAGUGGCGAAAGCGACUUCCUGGACCAGAACUGACGAUCAGGCACGAAAGCGUGGGGAGCAAACAGG